GAAGUGACCAUUCAGGGGUCUGCUGGUCAAGUUCCCCCCGCACCCCUCCCCCUCCCCACCUUAACCUAAGUCACAGUCAUCUGGAAAGAGAGAACUUCAAUUGAGAAAAUGCUACCAUAAGAUUGAUGUAUAACGCUGGAGAAUUGACUCAGCAAUUGAGAGCAUUUGUUGCUCCUUCAGAGGGCCCAGUGGUGAGCUGCAUUUCCUGAGUGUCAGCAGACUUCCCAGCAGGAAUUCCAGUCUGAUGAAGAAUCAGCCAAAGGAAGUCCUCACUGAGAGACACACUGGUAUCAUUUACUGAGUGGAAACAGUGAAAGAGUAACAUAUUUCUAAAGGGAAUUUACAUUAUUAAUAGUGUGCUUUUGUAGCAACUUACAGAAAUACACUUUCAUCUUUCCAUGGUGGAAGGAGUAAGUAAUUUUCCUCAAAACCCUAGCUUUGUCUCUAAAGCUUUUUCUGUUUUACUCUGCUAUCUCAUCUCUGCGAUGCUAUUCAUAACUGCAUCACUGUCUUCCUAAACAUAAAAUAACUAAGUCUUCACCUGAGCGACUGUGAUGCCGUAUGUUCUAGCAGUAGCUCC
rnacentral:lncRNA from 1 species